rnacentral:pre_miRNA from 1 species
UAAUUAAACAUGAGGAAGAAAACGAGAAGGGACGGACAAACACAAGAGUGUUUGUCCGUCCUUUCUCGUUUUCUUCCUCCUGUUUAAUU